rnacentral:rRNA from 1 species
AUUGAACGCUGGCGGCAGGCCUAACACAUGCAAGUCGAGCGAGAAAGCCUUCGGGUGAGUAGAGCGGCGGACGGGUGAGUAACGCGUAGGAAUCUACCGAGUAGUGGCGGAUAACUUAGGGAAACUUAAGCUAAUACGGCAUACGACCUUCGGGUGAAAGGGGGCUUCGGCUCUUGCUAUUCGAUGAGCCUGCGUAAGAUUAGCUAGUUGGUGUGGUAAAGGCGCACCAAGGCGACGAUCUUUAGCUGGUCUGAGAGGAUGAUCAGCCACACUGGAACUGAGACACGGUCCAGACUCCUACGGGAGGCAGCAGUGGGGAAUAUUGCACAAUGGGGGAAACCCUGAUGCAGCCAUGCCGCGUGUGUGAAGAAGGCCUUAGGGUUGUAAAGCACUUUCAAUAGUGAGGAAAGGUUGGUAGUUAAUACCUGCCAACUGUGACGUUAACUAUAGAAGAAGCACCGGCUAACUCCG